rnacentral:lncRNA from 1 species
AGGAAUUUAUACCUUUAUUGUGUGGGUUUGAAUAUUCAUAAUAGCAAUCAGAGAAUAAUCGGGGCCCAACACACACACAGGGUGGUUGGAGAGACUAUACCUGUGGCAAUACGAAAGCAUAGAAAUAAGUAGGUUGAUCUAUUUUUCUGCAUAACAUUUAUAACUAGUUACUGAUUAGAAUGGGGAAAAAGUUGAGAUACAGUCAAGGUUUUCUUUUCCUUAAUUUCAAUGAUUGCUUAUAGAGCAUGUGAAACUGAACUCACCCAUGGGAAAAUUUCUGCCUGAACAGCAUUAGUGCAAAGACUACAAGUUUGCACCAGCUUUGUAAAUAUUUGGACACUUGACUCAAUGCUUAACACACUUUGGAAAAUCUCCUGGUGUUAAGAGAGAAAGUAUUAGAUAUGAAAAUCUGUGAGAAUAAAUCACUUCUAAGCUUUGAUUUUUGUGACUACAGAGAAAGACUUUGACUCUGAUGUAACUGAGUGUCUAAAAGUAUUAAAAAAUCAAUAUCUCUUAUCUGCAAGAAUCCUUCUAAUGGCUUAAUGCUCUGUCUUCCAGGAGAUGAGUGUUAAUUGUGUCAAUUGCUCUUUGUGGCAGGAAAAGGACUUGUCUGUCAAAUGCUUUUCAAUCGCCAAGAAGUUUGAGUGAUAUCCAUGCUGAACCCAUCAUCUUUGCUUAAAGUACGAAGAAGUCAAGACAGGACUGAAAAGAACUCUGGGUCUGAAGAAAGUUCUGAUAAUAAAUAGAUGACAGAUAUCCUCCUAAUGCUUAACUGCGAUAAGCGAAGCAAGAAACACUUUGUGGUAUCUGUGUCAAGUACAUAUAAUCUCAACCUAAAAGAGGAAAACCACUGGGCAAAUCCAAAUUCAGAGACAUUCUUGCAAGUUGUACAUAUGCUUGUUCACAUGUGCAACACAUGCAUGCCUACUGUCCAGGAGGUUGAAGAAGGUGUGAGGUUCCGUGAUGCUGAAAUUACAGCCACUUGUGAGCUGUCAACGGGUUCUCUGGAAGAACAGGUGAAGAAUGGAGUAUCCACAAAUGACAAUACCAAAUAUACUCCCUCCUGUUCUUAUGAUCCUAUUGAGGUUGAGGUUUUACUGGAACUCAAGCCAUUCUUUUCCCUUCUCAUCAUCCUGUAUCUAUUGUUUGGCUUGAAGAAAGUAUCAUUGUAAAACAUCCAAAAGCCUGAAGUCUCACCCUUGGAACACAGGAAG